rnacentral:rRNA from 1 species
AUUGAACGCUGGCGGCAUGCCUUACACAUGCAAGUCGAACGGUAACAGGUUAAGCUGACGAGUGGCGAACGGGUGAGUAAUGUAUCGGAACGUGCCCAGUCGUGGGGGAUAACUGCUCGAAAGAGCAGCUAAUACCGCAUACGACCUGAGGGUGAAAGCGGGGGAUCGCAAGACCUCGCGCGAUUGGAGCGGCCGAUAUCAGAUUAGGUAGUUGGUGGGGUAAAGGCCUACCAAGCCUACGAUCUGUAGCUGGUCUGAGAGGACGACCAGCCACACUGGGACUGAGACACGGCCCAGACUCCUACGGGAGGCAGCAGUGGGGAAUUUUGGACAAUGGACGCAAGUCUGAUCCAGCCAUGCCGCGUGCGGGAAGAAGGCCUUCGGGUUGUAAACCGCUUUUGUCAGGGAAGAAAAGGUUCUGGCUAAUACCUGGGACUCAUGACGGUACCUGAAGAAUAAGCACCGGCUAACUACGUGCCAGCAGCCGCAGUAAAAC